ACCUUCGUAGUGUAGCGGUAGCACACUCGGCUUGCAUUCGAGAGGUCCAGAUUCGAGUCCUGGCGAGGGCA